AUACAUUGAAAUGAACUUUUCUACCAUUAAUCCCCAUAGACUUAUUUUAAACUGAGAGAUUGCAGGAGCUUUAUCUACCUGAUUUUUUAAAUUUAUUCAAUCUCCAUUUACCAAUGAAAAAUGAUCAAUAACAAAGUCAAAACUGUCUGCAUUUGUACCUCCUGUAUUAAAGAGACUUUAUUUUAAACUAAAUAAUGAUUAUUGAUUUUUAUAGUUCAUUAAUGGUGCCAAGGAAAUCUGCUAUGCACUCCGCUCAGAGGGUUACUGGGCAGACUUCAUUGACCCAUCUUCAGGCCUUGCAUACUUUGGACCAUACGCAAAUAAUACACUGUUUGAAACAGAUGAGCGCUACCGACAUCUUGGUUUCCGUAUUGAAGAUCUUGGUUGUUGUAAAGUUAUUCAGCACAAGCUUUGGGGGACACAUGUAUUUGUUGGUAGUCUUUUCACAAAUGCACCUACAGAUUGCUCAGUAAUGAAGAAACUGCAAGGGAGCACCCCACUUUGAUUUCAGCCAUGAUUUUAAUAUUAAAAGGAGGCCGGAAGAUUGGUUAAAAAGCUCCAUUUUAUUGAUGCAUUCUGGUGGCUUGUGUAUAUGUAGUUUGAGAAGAAGGCUGUAAGAUGUUGAAUAUAUCAUGAUAUUUAUUUUAGUUUACUUCAAAUGAUGUUGUAAAAGACUGAUGAUGAAAAGUGUCACUGGGGUAUGUGCCCAAUGUAAUGGAAAUGUCGCUAAAGAAAUCUAAUCAGUGAUGCUUCAGAACUGUUUACUGAUGACAUUUGGUUCAUGUUCUAUAGUUUGUUCCAAUUCCAGUGAGGCAGUCUAUCUCAACUAAGCAAAUAAUAAAUUACAUUUUGUAAAA